AGUGAACGCUGGCGGCAGGCCUAACACAUGCAAGUCGAACGGCAGCACAGAGGAGCUUGCUCCUGGGUGGCGAGUGGCGGACGGGUGAGGGAAUACAUCGGAAUCUGCCUUAUCGUGGGGGAUAACGUAGGGAAACUUACGCUAAUACCGCAUACGACCUACGGGUGAAAGCGGAGGACCUUCGGGCUUCGCGCGAUAAGAUGAGCCGAUGUCGGAUUAGCUAGUUGGCGGGGUAAA
rnacentral:rRNA from 1 species